CCUCGGGAGGCAGCAGUGGGGAAUAUUGGGCAAUGGGCGCAAGCCUGACCCAGCAACGCCGCGUGAAGGAAGAAGGCUUUCGGGUUGUAAACUUCUUUUGUCAGGGACGAAGCAAGUGACGGUACCUGACGAAUAAGCCACGGCUAACUACGUGCCAGCAGCCGCGGUAAUACGUAGGUGGCAAGCGUUAUCCGGAUUUACUGGGUGUAAAGGGCGUGUAGGCGGGGAAGCAAGUCAGAUGUGAAAACCACGGGCUCAACCUGUGGCCUGCAUUUGAAACUGUUUUUCUUGAGUGAAGUAGAGGUUGGCGGAAUUCCGAGUGUAGCGGUGAAAUGCGUAGAUAUUCGGAGGAACACCGGUGGCGAAGGCGGCCAACUGGGCUUUAACUGACGCUGAGGCUCGAAAGUGUGGGGAGCAAACAGGAUUAGAUACCCGAGUAGUC
rnacentral:rRNA from 1 species